UCUCCCAAGGGCCCGCGUCUGAAGGCGGCAGCCGCGUGGAGGAGAAAGGCACUGCUUUCCCCCGGUUUGGUCCCAGCUGAACACGAGAGAGACCUAAGGAAUACAGCACAGCAGAACCAUCACUUCCUCCUGAGACAAGCAAGGAAAGCUCCCGAAGGGGCGAGGGAAACAACGCGUGUCCGGAAAGAGAAGAACGUGGGUGACGAGGGACGCACAGGGCUCCGCGGCCCCGUGGCCUCCGUGGGCUCCGCGGCCUCCACGGCCUCCGCGGGCAGAAGCGAACAGAACUGAGCAGAGACACUGGACGUACUGGAUUUAGGACCCAUCCUAAGCCAGCAUGACCUGAGCUUAACUAGUUACACCUGUAAAGACCCUCCUGCCCAGGACGAUGGCCAUUCACAGGUGCGGGAGGUCGGGACAUUUAACACACCUUCCUGGGGGUGGGGGUGGGGGGACAUAAUUCUACUACAACGUCAUCGUCCAAAACACCUGGGGCUUCCUUCCAAGCAGCCAACCACCUCCUCUUGUUUGGGAACCCACGGGACAGGUAACUUGCCCUAUCCACCCAGGGAUGCAGCCCGGCGGUCCAUGCUGGUUCCCAGGAGGUGGGGUGGGGAAGUGGCCACCCAGAUAUGACAUAAUUGCCACCCAGAUUAUCUCUGUCCCUUCUCUUUGGAGCUUUCUCCUCUCCCCAAUUCCUUGUCUUGGCAUCCGGCUGCAUGGAGACACCAAGGCAAGGGGCAGGGUUCUUACAGCAGCGACAGACGUCUGGAGCGACGCUCAGCAUGACCUUUGACAUAAGCACUCAGUGAGACCGGCCAGAUAGUCUGUCCCCCACUGUGGGCGUUGAUACACGGCUCCAACUCCCAACACGGCCAUGAGACAGGAUGUCAGAGGGGACGAGGACAAUGGAAUCAGACCUCCCACAGCCAACGCGAGAGCAGCCACAGAGGGCAUGAGACUGUCCUACAGCCAAGCUGAAGCUGUUUUUGGCACCACUUGGAGGGGGGGGCGGUGAGUUUUGAAGCCUCUCUGGUCAUGGCAGGUACGACUUCUGUUUAAGACGCCCACCCCUUCAGACACCAACACGUCUCAGCUGCCUUUGGAUCCCUCCCUUCCCUUCCUUCUCAUUGUUCGCCCAUCACCUGGCAACGAUGAUGUCAAACCACCGCCUGGUGGCACUGUGUGACACCUGCCGCCUGCCCGCCUGCCUGCAAAUUCCACGGGCUCUUCAUAAUUCAAGGUUUGAAUUAUGCGUGCCACGGAGUCAGGGGAGAGGCGAGGGCUUGCUUCCUCUCUGGGAAACAUGUCCUUUGGAGGUGAUGCCGCUUUGGAAAGGAAAACUACUUUCGCAGCAAACUCCCCAAGGACCUGUGGUCUGAAGAAUUUCUCUGUGGUGAAACCAGAAGAAAUUGCCACGGGUCCAGAUCAGAAAGAAGCAAAGUCGUGUUCCCCUUGAGCCACGGGCUGCCCUUUGCUGCUGAGAUUCUUUGCAAUUUGGGGCGAGGGUGGGGAUGCUGAAUUCGGGAUGAAGAGUGCAAGGCAAGCUAUCCAGGGAGGGUGGAUGGAGCAUAGGAGGGCCUUGAGGGGGGAGGCGGGGGGAGGCAUAAAGGUGAAGUGACAGCGUCACAACACUAGGUGGCAGCAGCCAUACACAAAUCACGCGCCCACGAGUCCAGGUCAGAAUCCACCUGCCUUCCCGGGAGCAUUCACUUUGCGCCUUUCUCUUCUCCCGUGGUGGCUGCGAUGCCAUGUGGGUGAGGAGAGAACCUCCUGCUUCCAGAGGCAUCGUAAACAGGGUGCGAGGAAGAAGUCAAAAGUGGGCGUCGGAUCGUUUGAUGACAGGCCUGGACUAAAAUUAUGGUCUUCCCCUAAAUCAAAGGGUCUAGAGACGGCCUGCAAAGGGCCAGACAGUAAAUACUCUCCGCCUUCGGCCUUGCGACUCAGUGGCAAUUACCCAACUCGGCUAUCGCAGCACAGAAGGAGCUACAGAUGAUCUGUAAAGCAAACGGGGGUUGGCUGUGUUCUAACAAAAUGCCGUUUCCAGAACCGGGUGUUGGGCCAGAGUUUGCUGACCCCCUGCACUAAAUGAACAGCAGCGAGCCUCAUCCGCGUGUACCUCAGGCACAUGCAAGAUCUGCUGACAGAUGCCGUCUGGACAUUCUGCAUUUAAAACCUCUUCCUCCCACUGCCCCCCGCCCCGUCAUUCCCACAUUGUCGCCACCUCCCUUGUCCUCCUGGUAGCUGUGAAGGCACACAGCCGAGGGCUGUCAACACGCAUUCGGUCAAGGGCUGGAUUCUUUCCACUGGUCUAUCUCUUCCCCUCAAGUGAUCCCAUCAGAGCCAGAUCACUGUUCAAAUCACCUCUUGGGCUUGGUCAUUUCCCGGCGCCAGAACCCACCCAAACGCCAGCUCCUUGCUCAGUGAUGUGUUUCUCCAGCCGUCAGGUGUGCCUUCUAGAAACCACCAGUGAACUCCAUCCUCGGUGACUUCAUCUCUCCGCCUUGAGCCCUACCUGGGCACUUGUUGACAGCACUCCCUGCCUCCGUCAUCUCCACCUACCCAGGCUGACCACCCGCCUGCUCCUGAUGAGAUACCACCUGUUCUGGGAAGUGCCCCUGACGUGAGGGAAGGAUACAGAUUUGGUUGGUAUCCCUCCCUUGGAGCUUCCGCUCUGCCUGUCUUACGGUGCCUGCGGGUUUCGCUGCCCACUAACCCACAGUUUGGCUAUCUUUCCUGUUAGUGAUUUUCACUUAUGUCACACUGAGGUCACAGAUUUUGGGAAACACGCAUGCAUUCAUGCUUUAAAAAGAACGUAGGUUUUUUCAUCGCUGGGUUGGGGUUCUACAUCUGUCCCUGACAUGCAUUGUUAACUUCUUAUCUGUUUGCUCAGCGCCAGAGAGGGGGAUAAUAAACCCUCAC